rnacentral:rRNA from 1 species
CCUACGGGUGACUGCAGUGAGGAAUAUUGGUCAAUGGGCGCGAGCCUGAACCAGCCAAGUAGCGUGAAGGAUGACUGCCCUACGGGUUGUAAACUUCUUUUAUAAAGGAAUAAAGUGCGGCACGUGUGCCUUUUUGUAUGUACUUUAUGAAUAAGGAUCGGCUAACUCCGUGCCCGCCGCCGCCGUAAUACGGAGGAUCCGAGCGUUAUCCGGAGUUUUUGGGUUUAAAGGGAGCGUAGAUGGGUUGUUAAGUCAGUUGUGAAAGUUUGCGGCUCAACCGUAAAAUUGCAAUUGAUACUGGCAGGCUGGAGUACAGUUGAGGUAGGCGGAAUUCGUGGUGUAGCGGUGAAAUGCUUAGAUAUCACGAAGAACUCCGAUUGCGAAGGCAGCUUACUAAACUGCCACUGACAUUGAUGCUCGAAAGUGUGGGUAUCAAACAGGAUUAGAUACCCGAGUAGUC